AGUGAACGCUGGCGGUAGGCCUAACGCAUGCAAGUCGAACGGCAGCACAGUAAGAGCUUGCUCUUACGGGUGGCGAGUGGCGGACGGGUGAGGAAUACAUCGGAAUCUACUUUUUCGUGGGGGAUAACGUAGGGAAACUUACGCUAAUACCGCAUACGACCUACGGGUGAAAGCAGGGGAUCUUCGGACCUUGCGCGAUUGAAUGAGCCGAUGUCGGAUUAGCUAGUUGGCGGGGUAAAGGCCCACCAAGGCGACGAUCCGUAGCUGGUCUGAGAGGAUGAUCAGCCACACUGUAACUGAGACACGGUCCAGACUCCUACGGGAGGCAGCAGUGGGGAAUAUUGGACAAUGGGCGCAAGCCUGAUCCAGCCAUACCGCGUGGGUGAAGAAGGCCUUCGGGUUGUAAAGCCCUUUUGUUGGGAAAGAAAAGCAGCAGGUUAAUACCCCGCUGUUCUGACGGUACCCAAAGAAUAAGCACCGGCUAACUUCGUG
rnacentral:rRNA from 1 species